UUGCUUCUGCAGCAGAUACACUAGAACUGUAACAGCACAGAGAAGCUUGGCAUCCUUUGAACAAGGAUGACAUGCAGGCUUGUGGAGUGCUCCCUAGUAUU
ensembl:snRNA Gm25217 predicted gene, 25217